AGCCUGGAGAGGAGGAAGGAAGGAAGCUACAGUCUACAGCCAUCCCUCCUGGUCUCCACAAGUCCAGGGCACCUUCUGAAUGGGAGGAGACGACGUUCCUGGUGAAGCUGAGCUGAGGGCACGUUCAUCCCUUCACUGGCAUAGCUCCUCAGGAUUCCAGAGUAUACUGAAGACCAACUGAGGCACCCAGACUUGUGGACUGAACAACCAUUGGGACUUCUUGAUAGGCAGCUACUGUUGGACUAGCCGGACCACAGCCUCAGGCCAGAGGGAGACCAGUGCCACGGAGCUCCCAAGUGCUCCCUGCAGCUCCAGGAAGAGGCACCAUGUGAACGAAGGGCUACAUCCCUCAGCAGCUAGAAGCCAGUGGUGCUGCUCCAAGAUCCCAGUGCUGUACUGUAGCCAGGGAGGACUUCUGCUCAGUAGGCUCCGCUGGGAGCUUCCCUGUCAACACCUGUCUCUCUUCCCAGCAUUCCCAGCAGCACCAUGAGGGAAUUCGUGACAACUGCUGCUUCUCAUCUAGGGCAGAGAGAAGUCAGAUUCUCUAGCUACACACACUGCCUAGGAGUUACCAACGUCUUCAUAACGCGCAGGAUCUACGUAGACGUGAAGGCAUUUUCAACAACAAGUCAAUCUAAGACAUUUGAGCAACUGUCUUUCUCAUGAAGCAACACAGCUGCUGGCAAGAAGACACUGCUCAGGCAGUGCAGGCCCAGGGUAAGAUCUGCCUCCAGAGUCUCUACAACCCACUGCUGGCCACAGUCGAGCUGUGUAGCUCUGCCCUGCACGGAUGAUGUCUCAUUCUGACCCAUCACACUCAGUGUCCUAGGGCAGCUGCCUUGCUGUGACCUUGGUCUUCAGGCUGAACAGAGAGGAGAGAGAACCUUGCAUUGCUUUAGCAGGAGAAGCCCAAGGCGUCACAGGAGCUGCUUUGCAGGAGGUCUGCUCUUCUUUCCACCACAUGUACUGCACACCUUUAUUGUCAUUUGGCUCUUUGUCAGGAACAACAUUUAACUUCAAAUGAUAUGUGAUUAAAGUCACUUCUAUUUAA
rnacentral:lncRNA from 1 species